AUGCCUUUAUACAGUGAUUUGAACAUGUGACCGUUAGCUGAGGCAAUAAUGAAUAUCAUCCUCCUCAAUUCGAACUUAUCGUAGGAUACAUAAUAGCCCCUUCAACAGACGAAUGUCCUAACCCUAAAACAUGUCCUAUUUCAUGAACCGCAACGAAUUCCAAAUCAAUAGCGUUAGACAAAGAUGACUCCCUUACGUCUCCGUUAACCACCCAGUCUUCGGAUUUAUCUAAAUGGAACCUUCCGUCAGUCGGUGAAAACGCGUGUGCUAACGUCCCUAACACGCCGUCAAAUGGUUCUCCGUCUCCGUGGUCGCCACUGUAGAAUCCUAUUUUUAUAUCCGCGCCUCGAUACGACGUGGUUUCUGUGAAUGUUAUUGUUGUUACUUUCGACCAUUGGUUAAACGCGUUUGCGAAUACUUGUUUCGUUGCGUCGUCGAGAUUCUCGUUUGGAUCGAAUGCGUAGGUUAGGGUUCUUGUUCCCGCCGGCCACCGUGGCUUACCGGGGAAGAAUGCCGUAAUGCAUCGACCUUCACCCUCACCACGACAUCACCAAGAACAGGUUCGAAAACCAUUUCGAAAUCUCGCUUCUUCAUUCACGCCUUCUUUCGAAUCUCAAACCAUGGAACUCUCCUUACGCACAGAUGAGAGAAGGUGAAUGGAGAAAAAACCUACUGAAUGAUUCCGACACGGUGACUUCAGAUUCUCUGUUGGUGUUCUGUGAAGGAGUGAGGUUGGAUUUGUUGACGAUUGGAGUUAGGUUGAAGUUGAAUGAAAUGGUCAUUUGGAGAGGUUGAUUUUCGGUUAGCAGGGUUGAAGAGUUGGCUAUGGAAGGUGGAAUCUGCAGAAUGAAGAUUAAAGUGUGAAGGGUGAAGAGUUCUGAGGAUUGAAGAAUCAAAUUGAGAGUCCAGACUAAAGAAUGAAUUUGAGUUCUGCAGGUUGAUGCAGUUGGAAAUUCGGCCGCCAAGCAAAUCCUGCAUACUGUCAUGCUGAAUUAUCGGAGGGAAUUGAUGUAUUAUGCCCACUGAUUUCAAGAGUUGGCUAUGGAAGGUGGUUGCAGAAUGAAACAGAUGGACAAAGUGAAGAUGAAAUGAAACAGUUUCAAGAGGAAUCUGCAGAAUGAAGAUGAAAGUGUGAAGGGUGAAGAGUUCUGAGGAUUGAAGAAUCAAAUUGAGAGUCCAGACUAAAGAAUGAAUUUGAGGUAAGCUUUUAUAACAUUUCCUAUCCCAAAAUAAGUUAGAAAUCCACUCUAAAUUUCAAUUAAAUUCACAUCUAAAUUUGCUUGAAAUUCACAAACAGUAAACAGUUAGGAGUUAGUUAGGAUAAAUUAACCCAACAUACAUGGUGCCUCACAUAAUGGCCUUGCUUGAGUGUGCAUUAAGUGCUUCGAGAUGUAUUUUCAAAAAUAGGGGACAUUUGUGAAAAUUUACGUUGUGCAUUAGAAAUAUCUAGGGUGCGUUAAGAAAUUCUCAAUAAAAUAAAAUAAGGGAAUUUAGGUAAAAAAAGGUUCACUUAAUAGAGUCCAUAAUAUAAAGGGCUUAAUAAGUAUUUUCACCUCACAAAACCACCAAGCUGACACCAUCUUUACUAUACAAUAUUCUGAAGACAUAACCCCUAAAACAAUAACUCUUUCUUAGACAAACAAUAUAUAUAUUAUUUUAAUAUACCAAUUAUUAUUAUUAUUACACAAGUUUUUCAAACCUCUCAUGCUGUUUCUUAUUAAAUGUUCUCACAAGAAGCUAACAAAAGUAUCACUAUUUUUAUCAUUUUGAUGGGCCUUAAACACUUAAAUGAAUGCCGUCCCCCAACCCCACCAUGUCACAACUUUAUAAUAAAAGUGAUUAAAUGCAUCAUACGUGUUAUCUCCAUAUCGUGAUUACUUCAUCUAAAUUCUAAACAAAUAAUUUAUAAGCAUAUAGUGAUUGUGUUAUCUGUAAGCAUACCUUUUGAACAAUUGUUUUUCAUUAGAGACAGAGUACAGAGAAUGCAGAGUGCAUAGAGUAAUGCAUUAAUGUGGCAAGAUAUUGAAGUAUAGGAAGUAAUAAAAUCAAAAGGAAAAAGGAAAUAGAGGCUUUCAUUUCAAGAACAUUGGUUAGCUUCCAUUAUGACAUCACUGAAAAAAGAAAUGAACAAAAUCAGAAUGGAUUUAAAUAACAAAGGUUAGCAACAAACAAUCACCGUUAACAAAAUCAAAAAUGAACGAACGAACAAAUAUAUAUAUAUAUAAGAGAAAUAAAUAUGAAUGUAGACAUGGAAGGACGACGAAUAAGAAAACAUAAAGUCAUCAAUCACAUGCAAUCUCUAGAUGUCUAGAAGAGUAUAGUCAAGAAUAAGUGAUGAAGUGGUUGAGAAAUUUCAUCUAAUAGUUUUUAUGCGGUACUACUAAACCACCUCUUUCACCUCUAUAGAUGUCAUAUUUAUCUUCCACAAUAGUCAAUGUUGAACUUACCGAACUUUCCUGAAAGUAAUAUAGCUUAUAAAUUUUGUAAAAACUGCUCAAUGUAAUCGAACAAUUAACCAACACUCAAGUAAAUGCUUAUACAUGAAACUAGUCAAUUAAAAACAAAAAAAAAUAAUGAACAACAAUGACGAGAAAAGUUCACAAUAAAUAACACUUAUUUGUUAACUAGUUCUAAACUAUAUGUAGCAACAAAAUAUUUUCUUUUUGAAAUUUAGAGCUAAUACC